GUGAGAUCAGGCUCCGGAUCCCGAGCUCCUGAGCCGCUGAGCAGAGUCGUGACCCCCAGAGGAGAUUACCGGCGUCAGAGCUGCGCUGCGGCGGAGCAGCGACCUCUGUCUGCCGCAGAGAGAACAGCUCACCAGCGGCGUUAAUUCCCGGACUGUUGACGACGUGAUUGCGGCGGCCUUGACGGCAGAUAGCUCACCCAGCGUCACCCCGACACGCAGCCUCCCUCCCUGGACAUGUCGUUGUCUUGAGAGCCGCCAGCAGACGCUCUCCACUCCCACACUACACUUAUAAUAAUCACCGUCCUCUCCUCCGCGCUGCUCUUUUACCUACGAUGUCUUUAACUCACUUCCGCUGCUAAGUGCUAGUUGGUCAGAACUUUAGCCGAUCGCUAGCUCUUAGUACUGUUAGCCAAUCCGAGUCUCUCCGGCACACCAGCUAGCUAAUGUCUUGUGCGGUCCUUGUGUUUAAACGGCGGCCAGCACCAUUGCCGGGACACCGGGCAUUCUCCCCCCCCGGGCGGCUGAUGGAAGGGUGAGGGGAACGAUGCUGAGAUUCCUCCACAUCCUCCUCCUAGCAGGCCUCUUAGGUGUGGUGUGGGAUAGAGUCGAUGCUUUUGGUGGGGUCAGACUAGUGGAUGGGGAGGACAAGUGUUCUGGGAGAGUGGAGGUACUCCGCCAUGACCAGUGGGGGACAGUUUGUGACCAUGGCUGGGACAUCCGGGAGGCUGACGUUGUUUGCUUGGAGCUGGGCUGUGGUUUAGCUGAAUUGGCCCUUCAUAGUGCAAGAUUUGGUGAAGGUAGAGGGGCGAUCUGGCUGCGCCAUGUCCAGUGCACUGGACAUGAGUCUAGUUUGACACGCUGUGCUGUUGUCCUCCACAGUAACUCCUACUGCACCCAUGAGAAUGAUGCAGGGGUGAAAUGCUCAGGUACCCUUUUAACACCCACCCUCACCCUGCUGUCACAUCACACUGUGUUCUCACCCGGCGAGGCUGUUCGCUUUGGCUGCAGUGUUCUGCCGGGUCACCACCUCAGUGACUUCCACCUGUACAAGCACGGAGUGUCCACUCCACUGGUUACACAGAGGGCAGACCAGACCCAGGCCGGGGUGGAGCUCACGCUGUCCGACAUAGAGACUUUCCACCAGGGCAGCUACAGUUGUUGUUACAGGAUCAAGGGUGGCUUCCCCUCUCAGCUGCUCAGCUCUCCGCCAAGCAACUCCAUCAACAUCACCGUGGUGGAGCUCUUGACUCCCCAACACUGGUAUAACACGUCCUCUGAGGCCCCGGCUGGUUCCGUAAUUAAAGGCCACAAUUUUAAUAUCACCUGCUCCACCCUGCAGCAGUACCCCGGAGGUUCCUUCCAGCUGCGUCUGAUCCGGUCCAAUGGCACCGUGCGCCAGUCCCUGCCUGCCCUCGCCCCGUCCGUCACUUUCACUUUUUCCAACGCCCAGAGCUCCAACGAGGGCUACUACUACUGCCUGUAUCGGGUCCAACUGGGUGGACGCACCUUUGUUUCCAGAGAAAGCCAGCCCCUGCCUAUAGCCAUAAGAGACCCAGAUCCACUAUUGAGUCCAAUGGUGAUCAGCUGGCUUGUGUCUGGCCUGACAUUUGUGGUAGCUGUCAUUGUUAUAAUUAUUGUGGCCAAGGUACUAUGUAACAAGGAGAAGAAGCCCUCUGAACUAGAACGAGAGACCAGAACCUGUGUGGACAACACUUAUGUUGCCUUAUCAAUUAACAAGCUAUAAUGGGGUACACAAGCAACAGAACAACAACUAAAGGUGUAAUUGAGAGGGCCAGUGUGAAGGAUUUAAUGGCAUCUAGUGGUAAAGCUGCAUAUUGCAGCCAAUUUAAUACCCUUUGCCUUACCCUACCUUUAUAAGUGUGGUGGCCUUUCAGAAUCUCUAGUGAGUGAAGCGUCAGAAGGAUGACACUGUCCUACAUGGAUUCAGACGGCAUGUAACAAGAGAACCAAAAGGCUCGGCUGGUCGUCGCACACCUUUGACUAGAGGUACCAGAUGGACCCUGUUCAGAACAGUCUGGAUGAGGUAGUUUCCACUGGACACUAACAUAGACCUAAGACUACAACAUAUUUCUAGCAUACCAAACUUCAGACUAGUGUCACUGCAGGGAAACAAUGGAUAUAACUGGCUAUUACAGAUUGUAUUAGAGUGAGGUGCAAGCUAAUGGCCACAGAAGACUGAGAGACAGGAGCAACUACUUCCAAGUCAAGUUUAUGGUUCAGGUUGGACUUCAGAUUCACUCACUCGGUUACUGCCAUGACCUCAGAUGUAUGGAGUGGGGAAAUUACAACUAAAUACUAAACUGGGGAAACUGUGACAUGGGUUCUUCAGGUCUCUGAGUAUAUGCAGCUCAAAAACAUUUUGUAUUUAUUACCAGGUAACACUAAUGGCAGGCUCAACUAGCUUUCUAUGUAUUUGCUUCCACAGAUCAAUGAUCCUUAAAGGAUUAUAAAAUGUUUUUUUGUAUUUUAAGUCUAACCCUACUCUUCAUCAUGUCAUUAACAUGUACAUUACUGCACUUAGAAGUGUCCAAGUAGAAACUGAAUCGAUAAAAAUGUUGCUGUUGUAGGAGCUUCUGGUUUCAAUUCGUUUUUUAUGGUAUUACUGCAUGUAUUAUGUAGUUUAUAGCAUCAGAUCAAACUACAUAAAAGGAGAAAGCUAUUGUCAUGAAAUGCACAAUAUAGUUUCUUUAUUUUUAUACCCUCCGUUAUUUAAACAUUAAAUAUUGUUUUUGCCCCUGAAUAAAAGCCUUUAAACUUGUAAACGUAUACAAGCUCUUUUAUAUUUUGAAUAAUGAAACUGAAGUACAAAACAAACCACAUCACACUCUGUAUGCAUGUAUUUGGUACAAAAGUGCAAUACCUCAAAAUUACUUCUUGUGAAAAAAAGCAUAAUCGUGACAUAACAGCUUGAAUAAACACUGAAAAAACA